GGGAGCUUAGCUCAGCUGGUUAGAGCACCUGCCUUACAAGCAGGGGGUCACAGGUUCGACCCCAGUAGCUCCCA
rnacentral:tRNA from 1 species